CCCUACAGCCAACAUAUUUUUUAGAAUUCUCACAGUGUGUUUACCCAAGUUUAGAGCGUGGUUUCAAAACUUUCUGCAAGAGACCAAAAUCUCAGUGGAAGUCUCCUUCACACAGCAGGUAUUUCUGAAAAUUUCCAACAACACUAAAUAUAAAGCAAAAUUAUUUAUUUACGAAACUCUAAAUGUCAGAAACAGAGAGGAGUAAAGAAGUGAAUAUAAAAAGAUGUGAAGUAAAUAUAAAAAAAAAUGAAAAAAUAAACUACACAUUAUUUAACUAUAUAAAUUAUCUAUUCAGCUUCUUUGCUGUGUUCUUAUUGGUGCUGUGCUCUUAUACACCCAAGUAGUGUAUUUAGCCAUGUUCAAUGUGUGAUAGUAGCAUUCAACCCAUGUGAUUCCUCUCCCAUCUUUUUCAGAAAGAGAAAAGCAGGGACAGUCAAGGAGGCUUUUUUAUUUACAGGUUUAAAAUAGACAUCCAUAUAUACUUAUGUCUAUAUGCAAAUAUAUGCAUAUAUUUAGAAUGUAUGUUAUAUCUAUAAUGAGAAAUGCAAAGUGGAAGAAGUCUGUCUUGUCCUUGCAGCAAAAAGUGGGAAGAUUUGUGAUAGUUUUAUUUUCCUUAGAAAGUUCAAGAUUUCAUACCAGUACUGGAAAAUCCUGUCCUACAAGCUUUACAAUCUUUCCUUUUACCACAGAGAUUUCUAUAAGAGAGAAGCAGAGCCUUUGACAACUGCUGUUUGACAACUGCUUUGACUCAGUGCAGCUGCCUUCAACUGACCUGGGCUGCUGAAGGUCUGCCAGACUGUGCUUCAUGAGAACCACAGCCACGUCCACCAGUGAAUUCAGCUGGCAGGAAUGUCACCCUUGCAGGGUGGCUUACACUCCACAUCAUCCCUAGAGACUUGGAGUUACUGCGCAUGUCAGUGUCUGCAUCAGCUUCCAGGACUGUUUCAACAACACAGCUCAGAGCAAUCUCACCAAAGUUGUCACUGACCUCACCUCCUGAAAGUAAGCAUAUUUACUAAUUUUUGUUCCCUCUUUGCCAGACUGCAAGGGAAAUCUCACAUCACAGUCCUCAUCAAUGACAGAAACAGCAAUAUUGAUUUAUAACUGUUUGCUUAGAGGUAAUGGUUCUAAACUAAAAGAGGGUCAAUUCAGAUUAGAUAUAAGGAUGAUGUAUUUUACAGUGAGGGUAGUAAAACACUGGUACAGGUUGCCCAGGGAGGUGAUGGACACUUCAUCCCUGCAAGUGUUCAAGUCCAGGCUGUAGAGGGCUUUGAGUAGCCUGG